GACGAGGGGUCCUAGCGUUGUUCGGAAUCACUGGGCGUAAAGCGUAUGUAGGCGGCUCGGUAAGUCUGCUGUGAAAGUCCAGGGCUCAACCCUGGGAUGCCGGUGGAUACUGUCGAGCUCGAGUCCGGAAGAGGCGAGUGGAAUUCCUGGUGUAGCGGUGAAAUGCGCAGAUAUCAGGAGGAACACCAAUUGCGAAGGCAGCUCGCUGGGACGUAACUGACGCUGAGACGCGAAAGCGUGGGGAGCAAACAGG
rnacentral:rRNA from 1 species